rnacentral:lncRNA from 1 species
UUUUGAUUUCAAGAACUAUGAUAGCAAUCGUCACAUCCUUUUUUACAGACGCCGCUUCUAAAACACACAAUGAACCAGAUCAUCUUGAAGACACAACACAAGGAUCAGAUGAUGCCAGCAAAACCCCUAUGCCAAGCUCCUAGCGACCAGGACUCUACAAAAACACUGUAACAGAUUUUUCCUGGAGAGACGUAAAAAGAAUCACCUGAGACAGUCAAGAUAACCAGAGUUUUACAUCCCAUUAAAACACAUUGACACGUCCCUCUCGUCCUUUCUUUCUCUCUCUCUCUCAUAUGGUGAAGGUUCCUUUCUAAGGGUUCUGGGAUGCAGAUUAAAUUAUUCGGCUGUUUG